rnacentral:rRNA from 1 species
CAGUCGCCGCGGGAAUACGGAGGGGGCUAGCGUUGUUCGGAAUUACUGGGCGUAAAGCGCACGUAGGCUGCUUUGUAAGUUAGAGGUGAAAGCCUGGUGUUCAACACCAGAACUGCCUUUAAGACUGCAGAGCUAGAACGUCGGAGAGGUGAGUGGAAUUCCGAGUGUAGAGGUGAAAUUCGUAGAUAUUCGGAAGAACACCAGUGGCGAAGGCGGCUCACUGGACGACUGUUGACGCUGAGGUGCGAAAGCGUGGGGAGCAAACAGGAUUAGAUACCCCCGUAGUCCCUGUCUCUUAUAC